rnacentral:rRNA from 1 species
AUACGGAGGGGGCUAGCGUUGUUCGGAAUUACUGGGCGUAAAGCGCGCGUAGGCGGAUUGAUCAGUCAGAGGUGAAAUCCCGAGGCUUAACCUCGGAACUGCCUUUGAUACUGUCAAUCUCGAGUUCGAGAGAGGUGAGUGGAAUUCCUAGUGUAGAGGUGAAAUUCGUAGAUAUUAGGAAGAACACCAGUGGCGAAGGCGGCUCACUGGCUCGAUACUGACGCUGAGGUGCGAAAGCGUGGGGAGCAAACAGGAUUAGAAACCCGAGUAGUCC